AUUUCUCUCGGUCCUUGAUGCCAGUUCCUGCCGCAUCACCAAUGUGGUUUUUCCGCCGAACCUUCAUUUGCUCGAUUGGGUGAAUCUUGCGCAAAACCGGCUGACACAUCUGACGCUGCCAACCGGAUUGGACAACCUGCGGCAACUUCAUCUUGGCGAAAAUCCGAUUCAAACUUUUGUCCUGCCUGAGGAGCUAUCGUCGGGUGCCUUGGCGCCCGUGGUCGAAGCCCAACAAGCGCGAGGCGCAACGAUAUAUACGUAUCCCUCCAAACCACAUCUGGCAGAGUUCAACUACACAGGCUCAAUGGCAGCUUACCUGUUGCGCGGACCC
rnacentral:misc_RNA from 1 species